UACUGUGAUGGCACCUACUACCAGGAAAACAGACUUCUCUCAGAAAAGGGUCAGAAAUUAUCAGUCAUUCUCUAUGUUGAUGAUUUUGAAAUUGCAAACCCUCUAGGCACAUCAAAGAAAAUACACAAAGUAUGUGCGGUUUAUUGGACAUUAGCUAACCUUCCAGUAAAGUACCGCUCAGUCCUACACUCCACUCAGUUAGCCCUUCUGUGCAAUUCAAAUGAUGUACGUUACUUUGGAUAUGCUAAAGUUUUUGCACCACUCUUGAAAGACUUAAACAUACUUGAAAAAGAUGGUGUCUACAUUGAAACACUCAGUGACUGUCUCAAAGGAACAGUCUACGCUGUUGUGGCUGCAUAUCUGGCCGCACAUGGAUUGGAUGGUUUCAAUGAGAGUUUCAGGUCUACAUAUUUCUGCAGAUUUUGCCUUGCCACACAGACGGACAUACAAACAUCAGAUGCAGUCAAUGGCCAUUUUGAGAUGAGAACCAAAGAGAUGCAUGAUGACCUCAUACACAAAAUACAGAACAAUGACAGUGAAGAAAGUUAUGGUGUAAAACACAGUUGUGUUCUCUCUGACCAUCUCUCUUAUUUUCAUCCAAUCACAGGUUUUCCACCAGACAUCCUGCAUGACCUCUUUGAAGGUGUGGUUCCUGUUGAGCUGGCCCAUUGUCUGAAAGUGUCCAACUAAAAAAGCGGCACCACAGAGAGCAGCACUCCUCAGCCUUGACCUGAAGGAGGUGAAAGAUCUGCCUGGACUUUACUAUAAAAACUGGGGAUCCCCUUCUUUCUGGACACUGGACAACAAUUGAAGAUUAUCCCAAUACAGAGUAAAUGGAAGCGAGUGCUGUUUUGAAACUACG